UGACAGUGACAAAAAGGAAGCAGCCUUCUCUAGCCCACCCAAGUUUCCAUCAAAGGAGCAAGCCUAUGUCAGUAAGAAGAAAGCUGGCUAACCCUCCCACCCCUUGUUUAACUCCUCCAGCCCAUCCCACAUCAUUGUAGAGUGAAGAGACUGCGGUUAAUAUUCAGAAAGAGGCGCAGAGAACUGAAGGCUUUCCUGACUUGACACCGAAUAAUAACGAAGGCCUGUGUGCUUUGCAGCAGCCUCCACGUCACCCUCUUCCAGGGCUCCGUCAGAGGACUAACGAUAUGCCACAAGAUGAGCAAGACACACCCAGUGAUGAAGGGAUGUGCUCUCCUUAAAUCACAGCCUAUUCAUCAGGUACUCCUGAGUGCUGUGUUAAGAAAUCCUGCCUACAAAGUUCCACUGAGGCUGAUAUAAAGAUGACUGUGAGAAACUGGCUGCGGCUGUCUGAGCAGAGACAGGAAUGGGGGCGGCAAAGGCGGGACAAGCAAGCAUCUUAAGUGAAAUAAUUGAUUGGACUGAUUCUGGAGUAUGACUUAUUCUGGAGGGAAUUCCUUAUUUUUGUUGCAGUUUGCUAUGGGACGGUUUCAAGGACAGGGAUUAGACUAGUUCUAGACUAAAAUAAAUGUAAGAGCUGUCCAAACUGAAAACAACUUGCACUGACAUAUCAUAAAAUACAUCAGUGUCUUUUGUGAUGCUUCAAAAUGCACACAAGUAAUGUUUUUAUUAAGACAUGUUAUUAAAACUAGUUAUAUUUCAGAAUUAAACUAAGGCCUAGUCCCGGUUUAAGAUAAUCCCUGUCCGGGAAACCACCCCAAAGUGUAAUUUGUGGAGUGUUAAAAUAAAUGAAACUGCCUUUGCAAAAACAAAAAAAAACAUUUCCAG